ensembl:antisense Gm17057 predicted gene 17057
UUUGUUGGGAGGCACAGAUGAGCAAGUUGAGAAGAGAGGGGGCUCAGCUAGGGCAGAGACAACCAAGCCUCAGUCUUAAAGCUCAACUCUGGCCUUAACUCUCAGCCUGCAGCUGCGUUCCAAGCAGAUAGCGAUUCAAGCAGCAGUCUGACCCCCAAGGCUGUAGACGACAAAAGACUCAGGAAGACAAAUUAAAAGGGGUGCCUGGUGUCCGAGGAGGCCAGAAGAGGGCAUCAGAUCCCCUUGGACUGGAGUUACAGAUGGUUGUCAGCUGCCAAGAGGAUGUUGGGAACUGAACCUGUGACUGCUAGAAGAGCAGCUGGUGUCCUUAAUCACUGAUCCAUCUCUUCCUCCUUAAGAUGGCGUUUCUCUGUGUGGUUCAAGCUAGACUCCACCUUCUGGGCUUCACUGACCCUUCUUCUGUGUGGUAGCACAGGCUACCACAGAGGCUGUGAAGCUCAAGAGACCCAACCUUCUUGCAGCGUGCAGGAUUAAAUCUAUGGCCAUACCUGCGCUGGGCACGUGCUCCUCACUGGACUUUCUUACCAUCUCUCAAGUGUAGCGCCAGAAUUCAGGCCUCGGACUUUGUUU